GUCGCGGUAGCCAAGCGGUUAGGCAAUGGUCUGCAAAACCAUCUAGAUGGGUUCGACUCCCAUCCGCGACU
rnacentral:tRNA from 1 species